rnacentral:rRNA from 2 species
UACUGGAUAUGAGACGUGACCGCAUGGUCAACGUUUGGAAAGAUUUUUCGGUCUGGGAUGGGCUCGCGGCCUAUCAGCUUGUUGGUGAGGUAAUGGCUCACCAAGGCGUCGACGGGUAGCCGGCCUGAGAGGGUGACCGGCCACACUGGGACUGAGACACGGCCCAGACUCCUACGGGAGGCAGCAGUGGGGAUUAUUGCACAAUGGGCGAAAGCCUGAUGCAGCAACGCCGCGUGAGGGAUGACGGCCUUCGGGUUGUAAACCUCUUUUAGCAGGGAAGAAGCGAGAGUGACGGUACCUGCAGAAAAAGCUCCGGCUAACUAUGUGCCAGCAGCCGCGGUAAUACGUAGGGCGCAAGCGUUAUCCGGAAUUAUUGGGCGUAAAGAGCUCGUAGGCGGUCUGUCGCGUCUGCUGUGAAAUCUGGAGGCUCAACCUCCAGCCUGCAGUGUGUACGGGCAGACUAUAGUGCGGUA